rnacentral:piRNA from 1 species
CAUAUUCAGAGACCCUUCCCAA